GGUUAGCAUGAAGCCUCACUAAUCCUUCCCAGUUGACUGUACACUGGAUGCAUUAGUUGAUUCAGCAGCAGAGAAAACAUCCAGGCCGGUGUUUCUAUGGAUACCACAAAGAGGUGACUACUGCCUGCUGCUGACAUGCGGAGGGUUGGUUUCCUCUGCAGAUGUACUUGAGGUUGUUCUGGUACUCUGGCUCAUAUGGACAACUAAUAGACACUGAAGAUGUUUCAUAACUUUGGACUUUGGUGGAUUGGUCACAGCACCUGUCUGUCAGAAAAAUGAACAACAUCACAGACUGUUGGGCACAGAUAUAACAAUUCAGAUUCUUUACUAAAGUAAAAUAAUCAAUAUCACAAUGUUAACAUGUUAAAAUACACAGUGUUGUAUUCCUUUUAGAUCAUUGUUACGGUUUAAUGUUUUAUUGCCUCAUACAAAAAAUUCACUAUGUGGACAACCCAAAGCAAUUCAACAACAAGGUCUUGAUAAGUGUAAUGAAAUAAUUUAUUGACAAUAGAGAGAUUCAGCACUCUGAUUAAUUUAUUUACCUACCUUGUCUUACUUCCAGCUGUACUUCAGUAUAGAUAUCCUUUCCAUUCCUGCUCACCCCACACCAGUACUUUCCAGCAUCCAUAAAACUCAGAUCAGAGAUGGUUGCUGUGAAGACCCGUUUUACAUCGACAUCAUUGAUAGAGUAUUUGUUCUUCUUUCUUUCUGUCGUUGUAAUGAGAACAUCAUCGUAACUACAGUCAUUCCUGCACAAGUACUUCUCAUAAGAUUCAUAACCCUCUGGAUAGGGACAAGGAACAUGAACUUCUUUGCCUUCAUAUCCAAACACAUGGAUCUCCUCUGCGGCACUCCUUACACAGCUCAGAGCAACUGCAAAGAGAAGACAACUUGAAAUGUAAAUAAAUAAAUCAUUUGGA